AGUGAACGCUGGCGGCAGGCCUAAUACAUGCAAGUCGAACGGCAGCACAGCAGAGCUUGCUCUGUGGGUGGCGAGUGGCGGACGGGUGAGGAAUACAUGGGAAUCUGCCCAGUCGUGGGGGAUAACGUAGGGAAACUUACGCUAAUACCGCAUGCGCCCUUCGGGGGAAAGCCGGGGACCUUCGGGCCUGGCGCGAUUGGAUGAGCCCAUGUCGGAUUAGCUAGUUGGCGGGGUAAUGGCCCACCAAGGCGACGAUCCGUAGCUGGUCUGAGAGGAUGAUCAGCCACACUGGAACUGAGACACGGUCCAGACUCCUACGGGAGGCAGCAGUAGGGAAUAUUGGACAAUGGGCGCAAGCCUGAUCCAGCCAUGCCGCGUGAGUGAAGAAGGCCCUCGGGUUGUAAAGCUCUUUUGUCCGGAAAGAAAAGCGCCGGGUUAAUACCCUGGUGUCCUGACGGUACCGGAAGAAUAAGCACCGGCUAACUCGUGCCAGCAGCCGCGGUAA
rnacentral:rRNA from 1 species